rnacentral:rRNA from 3 species
UUAAAUUGAAGAGUUUGAUCAUGGCUCAGAUUGAACGCUGGCGGCAGGCCUAACACAUGCAAGUCGAACGGUAACAGGAAGCAGCUUGCUGCUUCGCUGACGAGUGGCGGACGGGUGAGUAAUGUCUGGGAAACUGCCUGAUGGAGGGGGAUAACUACUGGAAACGGUAGCUAAUACCGCAUAAUGUCGCAAGACCAAAGAGGGGGACCUUCGGGCCUCUUGCCAUCGGAUGUGCCCAGAUGGGAUUAGCUAGUAGGUGGGGUAACGGCUCACCUAGGCGACGAUCCCUAGCUGGUCUGAGAGGAUGACCAGCCACACUGGAACUGAGACACGGUCCAGACUCCUACGGGAGGCAGCAGUGGGGAAUAUUGCACAAUGGGCGCAAGCCUGAUGCAGCCAUGCCGCGUGUAUGAAGAAGGCCUUCGGGUUGUAAAGUACUUUCAGCGGGGAGGAAGGCGAUAAGGUUAAUAACCUUGUCGAUUGACGUUACCCGCAGAAGAAGCACCGGCUAACUCCGUGCCAGCAGCCGCGGUAAUACGGAGGGUGCAAGCGUUAAUCGGAAUUACUGGGCGUAAAGCGCACGCAGGCGGUCUGUCAAGUCGGAUGUGAAAUCCCCGGGCUCAACCUGGGAACUGCAUUCGAAACUGGCAGGCUAGAGUCUUGUAGAGGGGGGUAGAAUUCCAGGUGUAGCGGUGAAAUGCGUAGAGAUCUGGAGGAAUACCGGUGGCGAAGGCGGCCCCCUGGACAAAGACUGACGCUCAGGUGCGAAAGCGUGGGGAGCAAACAGGAUUAGAUACCCUGGUAGUCCACGCCGUAAACGAUGUCGACUUGGAGGUUGUGCCCUUGAGGCGUGGCUUCCGGAGCUAACGCGUUAAGUCGACCGCCUGGGGAGUACGGCCGCAAGGUUAAAACUCAAAUGAAUUGACGGGGGCCCGCACAAGCGGUGGAGCAUGUGGUUUAAUUCGAUGCAACGCGAAGAACCUUACCUACUCUUGACAUCCAGAGAACUUUCCAGAGAUGGAUUGGUGCCUUCGGGAACUCUGAGACAGGUGCUGCAUGGCUGUCGUCAGCUCGUGUUGUGAAAUGUUGGGUUAAGUCCCGCAACGAGCGCAACCCUUAUCCUUUGUUGCCAGCGGUUAGGCCGGGAACUCAAAGGAGACUGCCAGUGAUAAACUGGAGGAAGGUGGGGAUGACGUCAAGUCAUCAUGGCCCUUACGAGUAGGGCUACACACGUGCUACAAUGGCGCAUACAAAGAGAAGCGACCUCGCGAGAGCAAGCGGACCUCAUAAAGUGCGUCGUAGUCCGGAUUGGAGUCUGCAACUCGACUCCAUGAAGUCGGAAUCGCUAGUAAUCGUGGAUCAGAAUGCCACGGUGAAUACGUUCCCGGGCCUUGUACACACCGCCCGUCACACCAUGGGAGUGGGUUGCAAAAGAAGUAGGUAGCUUAACCUUCGGGAGGGCGCUUACCACUUUGUGAUUCAUGACUGGGGUGAAGUCGUAACAAGGUAACCGUAGGGGAACCUGCGGUUGGAUCACCUCCUUACCUUAAAGAA